ensembl:lncRNA
AUGUCAUGUUGCUUUCAAUGAGCCCAUUUAUCAGUCUGAACUGAAGGGCAGAUGACAAUUACCUGCUUCUACAUGUCCACCCUUGAACACUGAAAAAGUCUAGAGGGAGCCCAACUCAGCAGAAGUAAGCCAGCAAAAACUAUAAUAUUUCCUCCCACUCCGGAAAAUAACAAUCUUCCACAGCAGUGUCCUCUGUGCUUCAGAAAAUCAGCUCACAGAUGCUCCCCCUGCAGAUGCCCAGGACCCUGGGUAGAGCCCGGGGACUGCUGGUGAUACCCUCAUGUUGAGAAUGAGGUGAAGAAUUCAGUGUCACCUGGGAACCCAAGUUGUGCCCUGUCCACGGAGGGUGGGGUUGGCAGAGCAUCUGUGCGCCCACUCUUGUCCUUGGCCUGUGAUUUUCACAAGAGGUGGCCAGAGAUCACAGAGUGGAUGCAGCAUUCAUGAGAGUUUCCAAGGAAAAGACCUCAGGAUGAGGAGGAAUGGCCGAUGUGUCUGUUGGAGCAAGGAUACGGUUGGCCCUGUAGGUGCAGCAGGCAGCAGGCCUGCCUAAGAAGGUGUGUGAACGGAACAGCAAACACAAGCACCGUGCAGAAAACACACUUGCGGGACAUGGCCAUCCGGAAGCUCUGAGGGAUGGGAAGGGGGAGCAGCCGCUCCCAAGGCCUCAAAACAUGCUUCCCCUCAGCGUGGUGACCUGUGCCCUGGAGGCGACCUUAACCAGGUGACCAUGUCCUUCUGCCGGGUCUGGGAUAACUGGGCACCAACAUUAACGGCUCAGAGAAAGAUUGGAACUCUUGGCACCCUUGUUUGGAAUGUCUUCCAAGUAGCUAAGGGUGAAUUUUCUUCAAUGAAAUAUAUUAAUUUAUAAGAAGGAAAGAUCAAAAAGCAUACAUUGUUUACAGAACCUUGAAGCAUUUGUGUUUCAACCAGCUCAGCAUUAGAAAGGAAUUUAUCUAAAAUGGGAAAUCACAUUUGGAAACAUUUAAACAACCGCUUCUGGGUCUGGAGAGGCGAUCUGUCGCAGCACGCGUCUGCAGGAACCCUGGUUCUGGAAAGGUUCACCAUGGAUCUGGUCCUGUUAGCGUUUCUGUGGGACACAGGGCUGGGAUCAGAGCAACAAUCACCUUUACAACUCAAGAGUCCCUGUGGGAAGAUGAGCUGCUUGACUCAAGAGGCUGUAACCAGAGCUCCUUGCCCUCCAGCAUGGCCUCACCCGGCUGCCUGCACAGAGUCCACCUGGUCUUCCACCCAUUGGCAUUGGUACCAAAUGCCUGUCUCCAUGCUGUUCCUCCUCUCACUGAUGCCUCAUGGGGCAGGGACAGAGCAUCCCAGACCGCCCCCUAGUCAGGAACCGGCUGUUGGUGAGUCUGUAGCCACAGGAUGCAUGUGCUGGGCAGUCCUUUCAUGA